rnacentral:snRNA from 1 species
ACACUCUGGUGUCUCUUCAAAGCUUGUAUGUCUUUUGCCUAUUACUAAAGAUUUCCUUGGGGACGAACGUGAAGAGUAUUAACAUUUUUUUUCAUCCUUCUCAUGAUCC